CUACUCGCAUUCCUCGAGCCGUACUACUGUCCCGUGGACUAAAAGAGCAGUAGCCUCUGGGGACGGGGCGAGAGCUGUUACUGCACCGAAAGGAAGAAAGGGGAGAAGAGCGGUCUGCUCCGCGGGAGGCAGAUUCGGACACACAAUCCCUCGUGGUAUAAGGAGCACCUUGGGGCCAUCUGGGAUAAUGAGAACAGAGCUGGCUCCAAUGGCUUCUCUCAGGACAUAAAGCUUUCUUGACACUUUACUUUUCUUGGAGCCCCUUUUUUAUGGUAAUUAUGGUAAUGGAUAUUUCCGCAGCUCAUCAGGUCUAAAACCUGUCUUCAGAACCCACAGACUUUGAAACGCACAGAAACCUUGUUUUAAAACAUAGAGAAAGAGAAAGUGGGAGAGGGAGAAAAGGAGGGAGGGAUGCCUAAGGAACCCUGAGCUACUGAAGGUCUUCUACCAUCAACCGCAGACCUGUGAGUGACAGAACCUUCAGAGGAUUCCAACCCCAACCUUCAAGCCAGUUGAAAAUGAAUGGAACAGAGACAAGACUUCCCCACUGUCCCCUGUCCGUAUUCUGGGCUCACAGGAUCCGAAACACCCCUGAAGUACUGGCAGUAAAGGAGUAUCGUGUCUGCAACUUACUCUCAAAUGUUUCAGCGGAAAAAAAUGGCAGUAGAAGGAGGCACGGAGACAAGGAGGAAAAAAGCCAUCAGGAUAAUCUGUGGUCAAAGGACUCUGGACACAGUGAUAUCUAACAUCUAAUUUUAAAUAUUUGCCUUUCACCGGUGCUGCUCUGUCGUAAACAUCUUGCACCUGAAACUGCAGCUCAGCAUCUGCUUCUGGAGAACUCAACCUGCAACAUGAUGUGAGAGGAUAUAGCAGACUCUGUAGACCCAAGAAAGAUAGGUGGUGCGGCAGACACAAGUCGGUAUAUGAACAAAGGUAUUUCACUACCUAGGAUGAGUAAGAGGGAGAAAGAGAGGCCCAUGGUUUAGCAUGAAAGGAGAUGAGGGUAAAGUUGGCAUGUGUUUGGAUGUUGGUUCUGAUGCUUUUGCAGAAACCUCAAAUUGACGAUGGCUUCAAGAAAUUAGAAGUGUAUUUCUCAUAAAGAAGUAAAAAAUGAUGUGUUAUUCCUCUGAGAAGUCAACAAAGUCCAAGACCCCUUCCAUUUUGUUGCUGUGCCUCACUUGACAUGCUUCACAUGUUAAUCAGUAUAGGCCAGGUCAUGGUGCAGGAACAAACCAUCCCCAAAUCUCAGUGGCUUACAGCAAACAUUUUGUUUCUCACUUAACACUGCAGGUCUGUUGGGGGUUCACCUUGGCUCUGCUCCACAUCCUUCUCAUGUGGGGAUCCAGGCUGCCAGAAGAACCCUAUCUGAGACAUCACCAGUCUUGUGGCAGAAGACAAGAGCAAGGAGAAACUACAUGAUGGUCUUAGAGCUUUUGCUCAGAGUAGCACACAUCACUUCUCAUAUUUAAUUGGCCAAAGCAAAUCAAACGGCCAAGUUUGAUUUCAAUGGGGCAGUAAGUGUAAUCCUAACCCAAGGAGGGACAGACAAUAUUUUGGAAAUGACUACAAUACAUCACAAAUAUUUGCUCACAAAGAUUCACUUCUCUUCCUUUCAUAUUUAAGAUAUACCUCCAUCCCUAAAGGAAACAACUCAAAAGUUCCAUCCCAGUGGGAUGUCCCAUGAUAGACUAAGUCCUGAUAUUGUGAUAGUCUUCAUAUUAAGUCUGGAGAGGACUCUUUUUGGAGAUUUAAGUGAUCUACCCUCCCCCGCCCCCAACACAACACAUACACGCUAUGCAAUGUGAAACAGUAAGUGGAUAACCUCAGUAAAUCCUCCCAUUCAGACAGGGGAAGAACGGGAGGCAUAGGAUAGUCACUGAUCCGUAAAAAUUCUGAAAUUUGUCUGGUCCGGCAGACAUUGACUUGGACUUCUGACCUAGGGAGGAGAGUGUACUUUGAUCAGUUUUGCUCCCAGUAAGUGGUUCCCCUGUCCAUCACUCCCCAAGGGUUUUGGUCUCACCCUCAGAGAGUUCCUCCUUUUGCAUCAUCUUCUUCUGCCACAUUUAAAGAGGAAAUUGGAAACCAUUCUCUCUCUGCAUGCUGAGCAGCUUCCUCAACAUACCACCUGCCCCUAGAAUGAUGGGGGCCCAAGGUUUGUUUCAAGUCUCAGGAAGUCACAGUUUUUGGCUUUUUAGUCCAUGACUCUCUGGCAAUUUAACUUUCUUGAAAACAUUUUUUGUUAGUGUUGUUUCAGUCUAUUUGGUUCCAGUUAACUCCAUGUGUCAAUACCUAGAAUUCUUUUUGCAAUAUACUUCUCUCUUUAGAUUUAAUUCCAUGUACCUUGAACUUAGAAGUCUUCCAUAGGAGACCCAUGAAUUCAAGCUCUUUUCUCUGAGCCAUUUUGUCCACUGAAAUAAUUUAUUCACUGCCAACUUAAUUGAUUCAGAGGUUUCACCCAUGGGUUUAAUAGGCACUUCAUUAACUGCAUCUUUGCCAACAGGCUGAGUUUGAAUCUCACUUCUUUGUUGAAUCUAAAAAACAAAUGAACAAACAAAACAGAAACAGACUCACAGAUACAGAGAGCAAACUGGUGGUUGCCUGAGGGGAGAGAGGUUGGGGGAUGGCAAAAUAGGUAAAGGGGAUUAAGAGGUACAAACUUUCAUUUAAAGAAUGAAUAAGUCCUAGGGAUGUAAUGUACAGCAUAGGGAAUAUAGUCAAGAAUAUUGUAAUAACUUCGUAUGGUGAUGAUGGUA